UGUCAUGAAGGGGGUGAGAGGUGAUGGACAAAAGAUGUUAAACUAAACUUUUUUUCAUGCACUGCUAUACCUUGUCACAAGUGUAUGACAAGGACAGUUAAAUUUAACAUUUCAGUCUGAUGUAAACACAUGUAGCAACUACAUGAUAAUGGCUUAGAAUGACAUUUAAAGUUGGUUAAAUAAUGGGCUGUUUAAGGAUUGUAGGAUUAUAUGUUAUGUUAUAAAAUAUGGCCUUUCACUUGAAACUCAAAAAUGUCAGUGUGUUCAGUCACGAGUGGAUAUAAGAUGGUGACCAUUCUUUGGGCCCAGCUAGAGGGGGCACACAAACAACCUUGUACCACAGGUGGUAUAAGGCAAGAUUACCAGUCCAGCAAAGCAUGUACCUUCCUCCAGACCCACUAAGGGCUGUUUGCAGUUUGGUUUUGGUAAUUUGAUAAAUUCAAUGUUUGGGAAUUUGCACCAACAUUCUGCAUCAGCCCUUAGGUGUUGAUUUAGCUUUAUGGUCAUUUUGGAGGCUUUGGAGGUUGCAGUUUGUAUUGCUGUUACAUUUUAUGGUGCUGUACUGACUGGUGUUUUUAUUACUUUGUCCACUCGAUUUAUAUCAGUGAGAAUAGGCUACAUAACAACAACUACAAUGCAAUACAUUUAAACGACAGCCUCCAACAUGAUUAUAAAGCUGGAUCAACAGUUCGCUAAAACCAAUUAAACAAAAACUUAACAUAACAAUCUAAAGAAAGGAAGGAUUUAUUACAGGGAUGCUGUAUUAGACUGCAUUAGUUUUGGCUAAAUGUUCCUAAUAAACGUGCAACUGAGUGUUUAACAGCAUCGUUUUCUGAGGCUUGUAUCAGCAAAAUGUGUCAUAAUUGUAAAAAUAAAUGCUUAGAA